UGUUAAGCUAUCACUUUGUAUGUACAUAAUGUGAUUUACUUUUCUCUUUUAGGUGUUUAUUGAUUCAUUGGAGUACCUGAGUACCAAAGCUGAUGGUGAUUCGGACAGUAUUCACCUUUCUAGUCUUUCUGUGGAUAUUUCAUCCCCAGAUUUACUUGGAAGCAUUCAUGAAAGCUUCAGUCCAACUCCUGAACAGAAACUACUGAUUGUUCUCAGCAACUGUGAGUAUUUGGCACACCACACCUUCAAGAAUUUAGCGGAACAUUUUGAGAUGCAUGCUUUCCAAGGCACAGAGAAAAUUGCUCAGGUACAGUAAUC